UUUUUUUUUUUUAAUACUUUAAUUGGCUUCUUUCUGGUUUUUUUUUUUCAUGCAGAUUUUAUUUCCAUGGAUGCAAUACAGACUGUGCCAAAACUUUUCUAUUUCUAUUUUGGAUUAUUGCAAAUUUCUCUAUGCACGUAACCUCAUUUUUGUUAAUUUUUAAAUUAGUUUCUUCUCUCUUUUGAGUGACAUGUUAUUCUAAGAAGUGGUGGUUUGUGGCCUGGUUUCCAGGAUCAAGGAGCGUUACUAUGGAUGAAAUCCUAUAUGAAUGGUGGUUUAUUGGCAGCAUAGUCAAGAGAGAUUUUUUUAUCUCUUUGUUUUAAAUUUAUAUAUCCCUAUUAAUUAGGCACAUAGAAUUAGUUUUUGAGAUUGUAUGUAUAGAUGAGCCCAACUUUUUUAUUUUAGGAAAAUGUUGAUCACGAAUGAUCAGGAAGUUUUCUUACCUCUUCUAAUAUUUGAUUCGUUCCAUUUUAUAUGAGUAGAAUUCUUGAGUGAAUGUUGUUAUGAUUUUUAGGUUUAUAGUGCCUUUCCUUGAUUCUAGUGUUUUGAGAAAUCAUACCACAGAGCACAAUCAUUUCAUGAUAUUAAUUAGGAUUUUUUUUUGGGUGCCUGGAUUCUCUAAUAUUUUGAGAGAUCGCUGAACCCUUCUUCUUGUUUUGGUCUUUUGAUCACAUGUUCUGCUUUCUGAACAUCAAGUUUAGGGUGAUUAAGUUGGAGCUUGCCAUCUGUAUGUCUUUGGUAGGUUGGCUGCAUAGAUAGAAAUUAUUUAUGACUACUGCUUUCAGCAUUAAUUCCUAUUCUUCUUGAUUGUAGCUUCAGUGUGAGCUAAAUGUUCUUUCAGUGAGUUGUUUUGUCAGCUUGUGGAUGGGCAUGAACAAGAAGUGUUUGUCCAAGUGUUUGUUUAAGAUGUCCAAAUUUUUUUACUUGACAAAAAAAAUGUGGGCUUCGGUGCUUGCUCUUGCUGGAUAAAUUUAUGGCUUCACAUGUACAAAGAUCAACACCCCAAGUGUUUGAUGAUUGGGAAGGAAGUAUUUAUUGUCCUUAGCUUAUGUUAUGUUGCGAUUUUGAGGGUUUGCGAUUCAGUUAUGAUUCUUAUGAUGUUCUCAAAUUCUUCCUGUUUCUGUUCUCAGUCAUGGACACAAUACAGAGUAAGUCUUGAAUAUUAUGUUGGAUUUCCUUUGCGUGUCUUUAGUUCACGGAUAUUGUUUCUUGGCAAAUAGAACUGAAACCUGAGAUUUUCUGCUUGUUUGUUGGUGAUUUGUGCCCUAUUUUGACUACUUGGACUAAGAUGGAUCAAAGGGUUUUCUCAUAUCGUAAUAUAUGAUUUAUGAUCUUAUGUUAUGUGUCUAUAGUGGUGGUAGAUUUUGAGGACUGGUGGCAAUUUUUCAGGAUUCCAUCAGUAUAGAGGAUUAAUAUUUUGAUCAAUCAUGGAGGGUUUGUGGAGAGACAUAUUGAAUACUUAUUUUUCUUUUGGCACACAUAUGGUGUUGGCUUCUUUGAUUACAGCUUGGAUGCCAGCAUGCAUCUUCCUCCAGUGAGGUUCACGGGCUUGAUCAGGAUGUCUCUCGUGCCUCAGUUUUUGGAAUGGGAUUUGGGGUCCAUCAACUUUGUCUUCUUUUUCUUUUUAUUUUUUUUUUGUCCAUCAUGUUAUUUCAUGCUUCUUGAUCACAUUGCAGUGAGCUUGAUUAUUGUUCUCAUUCAUUAGUUUGAGAAAAUACAGGAAGUCUUUGUCUCUUUAGUUGUAAGGCUCAAAAUUCUGCACUUGAAAAAAAAAAAAAGAGCUUUUGACUCUCAUUAAGAAAUUCAUGGACUUGGGCUAAGAUUGAUCUAUCGUCUUUUGCUCAUGUUAUGUUUUGUGGUGCAGUCUGAGAUUCAUUUGUGCGUUUGCUUUUGAUGUUCUCUAAUUCUUCCUGCAGUUCCUGUUUUCAGUCGAGGAUGCAGUACAGAGCAAGUCUUAAAUAUCGUGGUGGAUUUUCUUUUCACCUUUUUUUGUUUGUUCACAAAUAUUUUAUAUGUUUCUUAGAAAAUAGGUCUGCAACUUGAGAUUUGCUGCUUGUUUGAAGAGCUACGUGUUUUUUUGCCUUAAAGACUACUUGGACUAAGAUGGAUCAAGGGGUUUGCUCAGAUCUUAAUCUAUGAUUCAUGAUUUUAUGUGUCUGGUGGUGUUAGAUUCUGGUGAUGGAGGGUUUGUGGAGACACACAUUAAGGACUUAUUUUUUGCGUUCAUCUUCCCUCCUGCGGGAAUAUGUUCAGAGGCUUGGUCUUUGGUGGCUUAGUGUUUGGUUGAAAGUUUUCUACUUAAGAGCAAGAUUUGCGUUCCAUUUACAUGUCUUUUUAACUUGUCUUUCUCUUUUUUGUUUUUAGAAUUUUUUGUUGAUCGCAGAUUUUGUGUCUGGUGGUGUUAGAUUCUGGUGAUGGAGGGUUUGUGGAGACACACAUUAAGGACUUAUUUUUUGCGUUCAUCUUCCCUCCUGCGGGAAUAUGUUCAGAGGCUUGGUCUUUGGUGGCUUAGUGUUUGGUUGAAAGUUUUCUACUUAAGAGCAAGAUUUGCGUUCCAUUUACAUGUCUUUUUAACUUGUCUUUCUCUUUUUUGUUUUUAGAAUUUUUUGUUGAUCGCAGUAUUUCAUGCUUUUGGAUCACAGUUGAGUGAGCUUGGUUGUGGUUCUCAUCAAUUGGUUUGAGAAUAUUCAGGAAGCCUUUCUCUUUAGUUGUUAGGUUUAAAAUUCUUAGAAUAAUAGUAAAAAAAGAAACGGAAAUGUGAGCUUCUGAUUCUUGUUUUCUUAGGAUCAUUGAGAAAUUCAUGAACAUGGGUGAAGAUUGAUCUGGGAAGUGUUUUGUAUAAUAACAUGUCAUUCUUAAGUUGUUCAUUUUUUGAUGGUUCAUAUUAUACACGGCAAGUUUAAGGCGUUAAUCAAAAGAGAUUGGUUUAUGAUUGAGAGGAUUUUAUUUCCAUGGAUGCAAUACAGAUUGUGCCAAAACUUUUCAAUUUCAAUUUUGGAUUAUUGCAAUUUUCCCUCUAUUCUUUAAACCAACAUGUUAGCACACAUAACCUCAAUUUUGGUAAUUUUUUAAGUUAGUUUCUUCUCUCUUUUAAGUGACAUUACUAUUCUGAGAAUUGUUGGUUUGUGGCGUGAUUGAGAUCAAGGUGUGUUUCUGUGGGUGAAUCCUAUAUGUGCAUGGUGAAAAACUAUUGGCAGGGUAGUCAAGAGAAAUUUUUUACCUCUUCGUUUUGUGUGUGUCAAUUAAAUUUUAUAUAGGGAUUUAUUAGGCAUAUAGAAUUAGUUUCUGAGUUUGUAUAUUUGCAUGAGUCCUGCUUUUUUAUUUGAGGAAAAUGUUUGACUAUGAAUGAUCAGGCAGUUUUCUUACCCCUUCUAAUAUUUGAUUCGCUCCCUUUUAUAUUAGUAGAAUCUUUGAGUGAAUGUUGUUAUGAUUUUUAGUGCCUUUCAUUGAUUCCAAGUGUUUUGAGAAAUCGUACUAUGGAGCAUAGUGAGAUGAUUUCAUAAUAUUAAUAUUUUUUUUUUGGUGCCUGGAUUCUCUAAUAUUUUGAGAGAUCUCUGAGCCCUUCUUCUUUUGGUCUUUUGAUCACUUGCUCUUCUGCAUUUCGAUCAGUAAUUUGGUCUCUGCUCCAUGAUGCUUGGCUAUGAGCUUGCACUUGCUUUUCCAAAGACUCCAUUAUCUAAAAAGAAUUUGGUCUUAAUUUCUAGUUUCCGAGUUUGUAUGUUUCUAUGAGUCCUGCUUUUUUAUUUGAGGAAAAGAAUUUGGAGCAUAGUGAGAUGAUUUCAUAAUAUUAAUAAUUUUUUUUGGUGCCUGGAUUUUCUAAUAUUUUGAGAGAUCUCUGAGCCCUUCUUGUUUUGGUCUUUUGAUCACUUGCUCUUCUGCAUUUCGAUCGGUAAUUUGGUCUCUGCUCCGUGAUGCUUCUCCAUAAGCUUGCACUCUUUUCCAAAGACUCCAUUAUCUAAAAAGAAGUUGGUCCAUUAACUUCAGCAAAUAUUUGAUAAAGAUUAAUUUCUAGUUUCCUCUGCCCUAAUCGUUAUUUAAUUUUGCUUGGUGUGAGCUUGCAUGUUCUUCUAGAAACUCCCUAAUUGUUUUCAAAAUAUAUGGACGGACCUUCCGGAAUCGAUUUAACAAUUUUUUACUUAAAGAAAGAAUUUAUAGAACUUCUAUUUGAUAUGUUGGCCAUAAUUUCUUAUUAUGAACACAUCAAGUUUAAGGUGAUAAGUUGGAGCUUGCCUUCUGUAUGUCUCUGGGCAUUGGCUGCAUAGAUAGUGAUUAUUUAUGGCUACUUUCUUUCAGCAUUAAUUCCAGUAGUUCUUGAUUGCAGCCUCAGCUUGCUCAGUUCUUUCAGUGAGUCGUUUUGUCAACUCGUGGAUGGGCAUUGAAUAGGAAGUGUUUGUUCUAAGAUGUCGAAAUUUUUUUACUUGACAAUAAGAAUGUGAGCUUCGGAUGCUUGCUCUUGCUGGAUACGAUGAUAAGAAGCCCAUAAUAUCAUGUUGGAUUUUCUUUGCGUUGGCAAAUAGAUUACGUUUUCUCAAAUCGUAAUCUAUAAUUUAUGAUCUUAUGUGUCUAUCUAUGGUGGUGGUAGAUUCUGAGAACUGGUGGCAAUUUUUCAAGAUUCCAUCAAUAUAGAGAAUUAAUAUUUUGAUCGAUUGUGGAGGGUUUGUGCAAAAAAAUAUCGAAGAUUUUAUUUUUUGUGCAUACAUUUGGUGUUGGCUUCUUUUAUUACACAGCUUGGAUGCCAACUUUCAUCUUCCUCUAGUGAGAAUAUGUUCAGGGGCUUGAUCAGGAAGACAUUCAUUGGUUUGAGAAAAUACUAGAAGUCAAACUCUGUAGUUGUAAGGCUCUAAAUUCUUUACUUGAAAAAAAAGUGAGCUUCUGGUUCUUGUUUUCUCCGGAUAUGCUUUACUGCAUUAGGAAAUUCAUGGACUUGGGCUAAGAUUGAUCUAGGAAGUGUUUUGGUUUAUGAUUGAGAGGGAGUACUUAAUGUCCGUUGCUACUGUUGGUCUGAGAUUCAGGGUUUCUUUUUGACAUCCUUUAAUUGGAUUCUUUCUGGUUCUUUUUCUGCAGAUUUUAUUUCCAGUCAUGGAUGCAAUACAGAUUGUGCCAAAAACUUAAAGUUUCUUCUAGGGAAAUGGAAUUUGAAUCGAGUUGGUAUGUUUUAUUUCGCACAUGUUUUUAGGGGUUCUAUGUUUUGAAUAUGAGUAGGGGAGAUCCUUUCUAGGAUCUUGGUGCCCUUUUUCUGCAGAUUUUAUUUCCAGUCAUGGAUGCAAUACAGAUUGUCCCAAAAACUUAAAGUUUCUUCUAGGGAAAUGGAAUUUGAAUCGAGUUGGUAUGUUUUCAGGGGUUCUAUGUUUUGAAUAUGAGUAGGGGAGAUCCUCUAGGAUCUUGGUGCCCUUUUAUUUUGGAGUCUAGUGGUUUUGAGAAAUUAAAAAUCUUUGAUAGAGCAACAAAUUGAAUAUUUGUGUUUUUUCAGGGUCACUUCUGUAUUUUUCAGAAAUUUGUGGUGAAGCUCUUGUUUCAUAUGAUUAUGUAAGUCUAUUUUUUCUUUUUCUUUAUUUAGUGAGUAUGAGUGUAUGUAUUUUUUUCUGAGAGAAUGUGGACAGGUUUGAUCAAUAAUAAUAACUCUUCGCCUUAGUUAUCCGUCUUUUAAGAAUAUUGUGUUGCCUUGGUGCUUAGUGUGUGUGUAAUCUAUGAAUGGCCCAUGACGGAUUCUCUAUCCGAAUCCUAUGAUUUGAUUCAGUUUCUAUCGCAGUGAUUCGAAUCUAUAGGAUUGAUCUCUUCGCCUUAGUUAUCCGUCUUUUAAGAAUAUUGUGUUGGCUUGGUGCUUAGUGUGUGUGUAAUCUAUGAAUGGCACAUGACGGAUUCUCUAUCCGAAUCCUAUGAUUUGAUUCAGUUUCUGUCGCAGUGAUUCGAAUCUAUAGGAUUGAUCUCAAAUGUACUUGAAUGUUAACUGAAUCUUUUAAUUUAAUAGUGAAUCAAGUGAAUCAAUUUAAAUCUAUCGAUUUGGUCUUUUUUUUUUAGAGGUUUGUUAAACCAUGUAGCUUCAAAUUUUAAUACUUCAUGUUAUUUUUUACUGUGAAACAUAAAAUUUCUCUUAGUUAUUUUUCUUUCAUUAUCCUUUUUUUUUUUCUCUUUCCCUCUUCUUUUGCGUUUUUUUUUUUAUUAAUAGAUACUUGUUUAAUUAUAGUUGUUAAUUGUGAUAUUUUUAUAUUAAUAUAUUUUGACCUUUAGUUAACUUGCUAUUAUUUAUUAUUAUUUAAAUUAAUGUGUAUACCAAUUUGGUCGAUUUUUUUUUCUAGAGGUUUGUUAGACCAUGUAGCUUCAAAUUUUAAUAUUUGACGUUAUUUUUUACCGUGAAACAUAAAAUUUCACUUAGUUUUCUUUUAUUAUUCAUUUUUUCCCUGUCCCUCUUCUUUUGGUUAUACUUGUUUAAUUAUGAUGUUUUAUAUUAAUAUAUUUGACCUUUAAUUAACUUGCUAUCAUUUUUUAUUAUUUAAAUGAAUAUGAAUCUACUGAUUUAGUCAUUUUUUUUUUCUAGAGGUUUGUUAGAUCAUAUAGCUUCAAAUUUUAAUAUUUUCCGUUAUUUUUUACUAUGAAACAUAAAAUUUCUCUUUGUUAUUUUUCUUUCAUUACCCAUUCUUUUUUCCCUCUUCUUUUGGGUUUUUUUUUUAAUAGAUACUUGUUUAAUUAUGACAUUUUAUAUUAUUAUUGUGACCUUUAAUUAACUCGCUAUUUAAUUAUUUGUUCAAAUUUAAAUGGUAGUUUUUAGCACUUGCACAAUGACAAUCAUUGUUUGCAAUUAAGUUCAUAAUUAUAAACAUAACAUAAUAAGAAUAUUUUGUUCUAUUAUAAAAUAUCAUUUUCAUUAGCUAAAUAAUAAUUUUAUACUUUAUCAAAAUAUGCCAUUGUGACACAUUUUUUUAUUUUAUAAUUUUUAUAUAUCAUUUUUAAUUAAUGUUGAGAAUUUUUAUCUUAUUUGACAAUUUGAACAGAUUCUGGAUUCUUGAUUCACAAAAUGAAGAUUUCUAUUCUAGAUUUGACAAAUAUGGAUUAGAGGCCUAUUUCUUUUCCAAUAUGUGGGUUCUCGACUGCCGCAUCUCAAUUGACUGACUGAAGUUGUUAAAUUGGGUUUACAUAGUUGUCUGGUGCUAUGCUGACUGUAUGGUGGUGUCUGUAACACAUUACACUUGUCCUCUCCUUGGGUCCACUUCCUGGUUUGCUUACAGAAGGUUUAUUUUUUCUGGGUUGUGACAGUGGUGCUUGGUUGUAACACGUUACACUUGGCCUCUCGUCUAUUUCCUGAUUUGCUUGCAGAAGGUUUAUUUUUCUGGGUUGAAAUUUGUUUUUCUGGAGAUGGCUGGUUCUUUGAUUUUGUUGCUGUGGUUUUCAUAUUUGGAUUAGUGAUGGAAGGCAGCAAGAGAAUAAAGCUGGCUUGGCUUUGUUUUGUCCUUUGACUUGAUAUGUGAUGAGGAUCUCUUUGUUCAUCGUUGUUUUAGAGGAAUUGUGGCUGGCAUUCCAUAAAUAAGAUUUGCAGAUAAUAUUUUCUGUUUUGUAGCUAGUUGGCAGCUUGGAAGCAAGCUUGGUGGAUAGAGAUUGAUAGACUUGCUGCUUUUUUUGGCUCUGUUGUACAGAGAUUGAUACUUUUCUAACUCUACUUGCUACUCUUUUUGGGUCUGUUAUCACGGUAUUUGGGUUCUGUUACUUGAGUACAUUGGUCUUCUAUUGCUUUAUCUGUAUUGUUUGGUUCUGCAUGGGUUUUCUAUAACACUGGAGUAUCUAUGUUCUCUAAUGUCUUGGUGUCCUCCUACCUGAGGCUUGGGUCAAUAGUUGCAUGUUUAAUUUUUAUUAUUAUUUUUUAAAUGUUCUUGCCUUUUUUUUUUUUAAGAAAAAUAUUUUUUUGGUGUUUUGUAUUUGUGUGUGUUCCUUGAUGCAUGUAACUCUGCCUGUGUUAUACAUACAGCCGGUCCCAAGCCCGGAUAAAAGGAGGAGGGUUGCAAAAUAUCAAAUUUGAUUAAAGCUGCUCUCAUUUAUUUUUUGGAUACAACAUUGGGUUUUGGAGAUCCACAUUCUACCGAACUGAACUAAGAGCACCAUAAUUGGAAAUUGUUUGAUGUCUUUCUCUUAGGAAGGAGUGAAACAUAAUCAAUUUGAAUUCAGGACUCUUUUUUGAUUUGUUAUCUCAUGUUUGCUUUGGUGAAAAAAUACCAAUUGAAGUGGAGUGAGUAAAAGGUUGCCUCAGUGAAAAAGGUUGCCUCAAUACAACAAAUAACGGAUUCAAGAAAGCAAUAACAAGAUCAACAAAUUGAAAUCAUAUAAAGGAUGUUGGGGCAUCGUCUCUUUCCUCAUGCCAUGUUCUCUAUUUGGGUAGACUCAAAAUCCCAAUUUAGGAGGGACCCUCUUGGUGUUCUAGAAGCCCUUCUUUGGCUGUCAAAUUCUGUAUUAGCAAUUUCACAACAUGGAGCUCGUAUGAGGAGGCUACAGCUAUUGUGAAGAAACACAAAGCCUCACCAGAAGAAGUUGAGGUGCGGUUGACUCAAUACCGGCAGGGUGGCUUGCCUGAAGACGAGAUUUAAUGGAAAGAAGGCUUUAAAUGAAGCAUCUGUCAUCAUGAGGGAGCAUACACCGGUGACUAAUUUAUUCAUGUGCCUCUGGUUUAACGAAGUUGUUCCCUUCACUUCCAGGGAUCAGUUGAGUUUCCCAUGUGUACUAUGGCGGUUGAAAUUGUUGAAGAACAUCAACAUGUACCUUUUUUGCAUCUGGUUAAUAGCAUGGGCCACAUACGCAAGGCUAAGCUAUUGAUAAGUUGAUGCUAUGAUACUGCAGUCACGGUUCCACAUGAAUGAAUGCCUUCAGUGUGACUGGCUGGCAGGCUGUAUUUAUUCAUUCAUUAACUUGCUUAAGUUAAAUGGAUUGGAGGAAUUGGUGAAAAAGAGAAAUUUUACCCGUUUCCUCCUUUUUUCUUGAUCAGCUCAAGAGCAGAUGUAUUUAUCUUCAUAUUCCAAUUGUUAGAAAUAGAAUGAAUCAAUUUACCUAAUUUGUUGGAAGUUUUGCAACUUUCAUCGAGCUUCAUUUUAUUGGGUUCUGCUUCCUUUGCUCAUUGAAUUUUACCAGCCCUUUCUUACCUUGUAG